GACGAACGCUGGCGGCGUGCCUAAUACAUGCAAGUCGAGCGAAGCGGCGGAUGGGUGAGUAACGCGUGGGUAACCUGCCCUUAAGUCUGGGAUACCAUUUGGAAACAGAUGCUAAUACCGGAUACUAAAGGAUGGACCUGAGAUGAAUAGGCUAGUUGGUAAGGUAACGGCUUACAAAGGGGAUGAUGCAUGGCCGGGUGAGGAGACUGAUCGGCCACAUUGGGACUGAGACACGUCCAAAACUCCUCCGGAGGUCAGCAGUGGGGAAUCUUCAACAUUGGACGAAAGUCUGAUGGAGCAACGCCGCGUGAGUGAAGAAGGUUUUCGGUUCGAAAGCUCUGUUGUUGGUGAAGCGGUAAUCAACCAGAAAGUCACGGCUAACUACGUGCCAGCAGCCGCGGUAAUUC
rnacentral:rRNA from 1 species